rnacentral:rRNA from 1 species
GGAGGGUGCGAGCGUUGUUCGGAAUUAUUGGGCGUAAAGCGCGUGUAGGCGGUUUUUUAAGUCUGAUGUGAAAGCCCUGGGCUCAACCCGGGAAGUGCAUUGGAAACUGGGAGACUUGAAUACGGGAGAGGGUAGUGGAAUUCCUAGUGUAGGAGUGAAAUCCGUAGAUAUUAGGAGGAACACCGGUGGCGAAGGCGGCUACCUGGACCGAUAUUGACGCUGAGACGCGAAAGCGUGGGGAGCAAACAGGAUUAGAUACCCUGGUAGUCCACGCCGUAAACGAUGAGUACUAGGUGUCGCGGGUAUUGACCCCUGCGGUGCCGCAGCUAACGCAUUAAGUACUCCGCCUGGGAAGUACGGCCGCAAGGCUA